UGCUUUUUAAACAAGGCAUUAUUUCGUAUGUGGUUGAAACUCUCUGGGAGCUGACAAAGGAAAUAAAGACCUGCCACUGUCACCAUCUAACCUGUGCCUUGUCGUCAGACCUGAGAUGGAGGCCAAAGCAGAGACCCCCUGUGAAAUUAGCUGGCUCUGAGGAAAUUUCUACCUGCAUAGGCACAUGGUACCUGUCUUCCUCCCAGGUUCCUCACACCACUCCUCCGAACUCACCAUUCACUAAGGAACUUCCAGCUCCAGGAUAACCUCAGGUUCCAUGUCUGCCAUUCCCUUCCACCCAGGCAAAAUUCAGAUCUUUUCAGAGCAAGAGAAAAAUAUUUCUGAGGAAAAUGAAUAAACCACAGAGAAAUACUGAUAUUCUCCAGGGGAUAAACUCCAGAAAGGAACUAACAUGCAGGCUACAGAAGAUAGCCUUCCAUGAACAUUUUGAUAAAAAGAAGAAAAGGCUAAGAAGCAGCAGUUUAUCAUGUAUGCCCACAAAACUCAAGCAAAGAAAAAAAAUAAACUAUUUGGCGAAUCAGAAGAAAGCAGGGUUCAGCUCAGCAAACCCAGAAGACGUCUACCUAUUCU
rnacentral:lncRNA from 1 species